UACGAAGGGUCCAAGCGUUAUCCGGAUUUAUUGGGUUUAAAGGGUGCGUAGGCGGCUUAUUAAGUCAGUGGUGAAAGCCCGUAGCUUAACUACGGAACUGCCAUUGAUACUGAUGAGCUUGAAUAUACUUGAGGUUGGCGGAAUAUGUCAUGUAGCGGUGAAAUGCUUAGAUAUGACACAGAACACCGAUUGCGAAGGCAGCUAACGAAACUAUAACUGACGCUGAGGCACGAAAGUGCGGGGAUCAAACAGG
rnacentral:rRNA from 1 species